rnacentral:rRNA from 1 species
UACGUAGGGGGCAAGCGUUGUCCGGAUUCAUUGGGCGUAAAGAGCUCGUAGGCGGCUUGGCAAGUCGGGUGUGAAAACUUCAGGCUCAACCUGGAGCGGCCACUCGAUACUGCCAUGGCUUGAGUCCGGUAGGGGACCACGGAAUUCCUGGUGUAGCGGUGAGAUGCGCAGAUAUCAGGAGGAACACCGGUGGCGAAGGCGGUGGUCUGGGCCGGAACUGACGCUGAGGAGCGAAAGCGUGGGGAGCGAACAGG